CCUACCUGUCCUCUUCACAGCAGACCUUACAUGUCCUCUUCACAGCAGACCUCACCUGUCCUCUUCACAGCAGACCUCACCUGUCCGCUUCACAGCAGACCUCACAUGUCCUCCUCACAGCAGACCUCACCUGUCCUCUUCACAGCAGACCUCACCUGUCCUCUUCACAGCAGGACUGACCUGUCCUCAUCACAGCAGACUCCACCUGUCCUCUACACAGCAGACCUUACCUGUCCUCUUCACAGAAGACCUCACCUGUCCUCUUCACAGAAGGCCUCACCUGUCCUCUUCACAGCAGACCUCACCUGUCCUCUUCACUCAUCCUUCUCUCCUGAUCAAAUGGAGUUGGGGUGAGUGAUGGGUAUUGGUGAGAACAUGUCUGUUACUGUCUGACACACAACAUUGAUGGGAUAGCAUUUUGACCAGUGAUUCACCCCUCCCAGCAGAAAAAGACUGCAUACAUAAUCAUGUCCCAAACCAAUAGUAAGUAUUUCUAGGGAGUUUUUCCUAGCCACCGUGCUUCUACACCUGCAUUGCUUACUGUUGGGGUUUUAGGCUGGGUUUCUGUACAGCACUUUGAGAUAUCAGCUGAUGUACGAAGGGCUAUAUAAAUACAUUUGAUUUGAUUUGAUAUGUCUUGUUUAGGAAGGUGACUCCUGUCCUCUUGUUUAGGAAGGUGGCUCCUGUCCUCUUGUUUAGGAAGGUGGCUCCUGUCCUCUUGUUUAGGAAGGUGACUCCUGUCCUCUUGUUAGGAAGGUGACUCCUGUCCUCUUGUUUAGGAAGGUGACUCCUGUCCUCUUGUUUAGGAAGGUGACUCUUGUCCUCUUGUUAGGAAGGUGACUCCUGUCCUCUUGUUUAGGAAGGUGACUCCUGUCCUCUUGUUUAGGAAGAUGACUGGUUCUGUGACUGAUCUCAGACAGCUCUGCUGGAGUGGAUCCAUCUGAUCUUGGGAGAGAGGGUUCACUUUGGGCCCAAAUCAAAUCAAAUUUUAUUUGUCACAUACACAUGGUUAGCAGAUGUUAAUGCGAGUGUAGCGAAAUGCUUGUGCUUCUAGUUCCGACAAUGCAGUAAUAACGAACAAGUAAUCUAACUAACAAUUCCAAAAAACUACUGUCUUAUACACAGUGUAAGGGGAUAAAGAAUAUGUAC
ensembl:lncRNA